GAAGAGUCUGGGAUUCCUUUAUGAGGUGCAACCAAAACAGCUGUCAGACAAAGCAACAGGGAUAUUCUGGCAGGGUGUCUGGCUAGCAUUAGUUCUGAAUACGGUUGUGUUUUUGAUCACUAAUAUGGCUGUGACUUUUGGACUCUCUUUGAGUGURUCUUGGAUUUGUUGCCUGCUAAUUGGAGGGAUAACUUGUUUUACACUUAAAGGUAACGCUCAUGGGCAUGCUGCCUACCCUGGACCUGAACCAACUGGAACAUCUGCCCCAGCAAGUGUGGUGUCUGGUCCAAAUUCCAAAGCUACUGGCCACAAUGCCCCGUAGC